rnacentral:rRNA from 1 species
AUUGAACGCUGGCGGCAGGCCUAACACAUGCAAGUCGAGCGAGCGGCGGGUGGGUGCGUGAUGCCUGGGAAUUGCCCAGUCGAGGGGGAUAACAGUUGGACAAGACUGCUAAUCCCGCAUACGAUUGGAGUGCCCAGGUGGGAUUAGCUAGUUGGUGGGGUAAUGGCUCACCAAGGCGACGAUCCCUAGCUGGUCUGAGAGGAUGAUCAGCCACACUGGAACUGAGACACGGUCCAGACUCCUACGGGAGGCAGCAGUGGGGAAUAUUGCACAAUGGGGGAAACCCUGAUGCAGCCAUGCCGCGUGUGUGAAGAAGGCCUUCGGGUUGUAAAGCACUUUAAGCGAGGAGGCGUUACUAGCAGAAGAAGCACCGGCUAACUCCGUGCCAGCAGCCGCGGUAAUAC